rnacentral:tRNA from 1 species
UCCGCAGUAGCUCAAUGGUGGAGCAUCCGGCUGUUAACCGGAGGGUUACAAGUUCGAGUCUUGUCUGCGGAGCCA